UACGGAGGAGGCAAGCGUUAUCCGGAAUUAUUGGGCGUAAAGCGUCCGCAGGCGGCCCUUCAAGUCUGCCGUCAAAGACUGGGGCUUAACCCUGGAAAGGCGGUGGAAACUGAAGCGCUAGAGUGCGGUAGGGGUAGAGGGAAUUCCCGGUGUAGCGGUGAAAUGCGUAGAGAUCGGGAAGAACAUCGGUGGCGAAAGCGGCUCUCUGGGACGGUACUGACGCUGAGACGCGAAAGCGUGGGGAGCGAACAGG
rnacentral:rRNA from 1 species